AUUGAACGCUGGCGGCAGGCUUAACACAUGCAAGUCGAGCGGUGCGAGGGUGCUUGCACCUUAGCUUAGCGGCGGACGGGUGAGUAAUGCUUAGGAAUCUGCCUAUUAGUGGGGGACAACAUUCCGAAAGGAAUGCUAAUACCGCAUACGCCCUACGGGGGAAAGCAGGGGAUCUUCGGACCUUGCGCUAAUAGAUGAGCCUAAGUCGGAUUAGCUAGUUGGUGAGGUAACGGCUCACCAAGGCGACGAUCUUUAACUGGUCUGAGAGGAUGAACAGUCACACUGGAACUGAGACACGGUCCAGACUCCUACGGGAGGCAGCAGUAGGGAAUAUUGUACAAUGGAGGAAACCCUGACGCAGCAACGCCGCGUGGGUGAAGAAGGCCUUCGGGUCGUAAAGCCCUUUCGGACGGGACGAACGCUUCGCGGUGAAAGCCGCGAAGUCUGACGGUACCGUAGGAAGAAGCACCGGCUAACUCCGUGCCAGCCGCCGCAGUAAUAC
rnacentral:rRNA from 1 species